GCAAUUCUAACUCAGGCAAGCAUUAAUACUCAGGCAAGACAGUAUAUGAAGACCCUCACACAUGAAUAUAUACUUUUACAAAGAAAAAUGGGCACAGAGGUUCACAUCUGUAAUCCUGUAAACCUGGGGAUGGAGACAGAAGGAUUAGGGGUUGGAAGUCAUUCUUAUCUACAUGCUGGGUCCAGCCUGGGUUACAGGAGAACCUGCCUCAAUCAAGCAAACAGUAUUUUCAUUUUCUUAAGGAAGUUUCUGGUUUGCAGCAAAGUUGAAAGGAAUUUUCAUGCUUCUCCCGUCUUGCCACAGCUUUUGCCUCCCCAUACCUAUAGCCUUCCCAUCCUUAAUAGCCUCUAACAGAAUGAUAUUAUUUGUUACAACUGGGGGGCCUCCCCAUCCUUAAUCUCCUGCACCAGAAUGAUACAUUUGUUACAACUGGAGAGCCACCACCUGCAUCUCAUUAUCACCAAACUCCUCAUUUAAGUUAGCGUUCACAUUCUGUGCAGAUGUUGUGUGUGAGCGCAUUCACUUAAUCAAAUGCAAGUGUGUGUCAACGAGCACACGUGGAGGCCAAGGAAACGUCAGAUGCCGUCCACACCUUCCAUCUGGUGUGAGAGAGGGUCUGCCGGGUUUUUUUUCUGCUGUGUACACCAAUCCAGCUAACCCUAUCUUCCCCACAGGAGUACUGGAAUCACAGGUGCUCUCGGUCCAGGGUUAUAUGGGUUCUGGAGAUUCAAACUCAGCUUCUUCAUUGCGUUAAAUUAUUGAGGUUUAUGAAUGCACAGCGAAUAGCACCCACCAUUACAGCCUCAAAAUCGAUGCUGCCUACUGGAACGUCGACUGCUCCUGUUUAGCUUGACCUUGUGUCUUGGGUAGGCAACAGCAUCUGAAGUGAGUUCACAGAUUCAAUAGCCAUGUCAUGUCUAGACACAGAAAAGGACAUGAAGUUAUGAUGAGCAUGAUCUUACCAAGUUUUAAAUUUAUAGUUGAGAAUUCCCCUUGGAGGGUCUACAUGCUUGACUGGGGGAGGAUGGAAUUUGAUCUUUUCUUCUGUCUGUCCAAUCUAGGUCCAUAGGCAGAGAAGGCCAGCUUUCCAGUACAGAGGGAGCCGAGAUCCCCAGCAGAAAGUGGUCAUCUCUGUCCUCUGUUGACUCCUCUAGCUCUACUUGUCUUUAUGUUUGUUUGGUCCACUGAUUAUACUCCAGGGAGUGUUAGAGUUCACAUCCACAUUCCACUCCGCAGUGGACAGAGACUUACCAGGCUUACGCUCCAUGACCCAUACCUCAUAGCUCUUGUUGCAGUUGAUCGCAGCCAUACUUCAGAUUGUCACACAGGCAACGCUUCUCUCAACGAAGCUUCUAAUACUGCUUUGGGGUUGGUAAAAAUCCAGGAAGGCCAGGCUGUGAGGCUGGAAUUUGGAGCAUGAACCCACCACAACAGCAAAUUCUGCAUCAUCCAGCUGGGUUAAGUAGCAGACGUCUUCAACAGCAAGGAAACUCAGCAUACCAUAGAUGUGUCAUGGAGUCCAACGGGUAAAGUCUGUGAUCAAGGGCUGAGCCAUCACUGGGUCCUGCUGAUGAGGACAAGAGAGAAGCAUGGGCCUGUAAACUGUUAGAACUCAGUGGCUGAGUUAGGC
rnacentral:sRNA from 1 species